CUCUGCAGUUGUUCGAUGUGUAGUGUCAUCUAGGACAGCAAGUGCCAACCAGUAUGCGAGCGUGUUGUGUUAAUUGUGAUCUGGUCAAAUGCGGAAACAAAGGAUAAUAACAGAAAAUCUGACGGUACUUACUACAGCGUGUGUUUGAUAUUAGUGCUGUGUUAUCUAUCGAUGUGCUUCAAGAAAGCGUUUUGAAACUUGUUUAUGUGUGUCUCAUCGGCGUCAACUGAAUAGUAAGCAGUCAUGUUUCCAUUCUCUCCUGUAUAAAAGUCAUUGUUUAUGAUUUGUUAAAACCAUAGUGGUCAAGCAUUUGUACGGUAGAAUAUUUGAAGUUAAAGAGCUAGCAGCAUUUUGGUUUAUCGUAAAUGUGUCAUUUAGGCCGGGGCUCAUAGUGAUCCGUGCUGUUGUGGUAGCAAGUACUGGCCCGGUACAGGCACAUAGCAUGUAGGUGCAAGUGAUCACGAAACAGGACCGCUGGGUUGCACAACGCAGGCUUGCCGACCAAUACGCAAUGAGAAGAGCCGUGGUUUAAUUCCUUCAUUUUAUUAUGAGAUUUCUACAAACGUUUAGAACUUCCAUUUUAUAGUGGUUGGUUAUCUUUGGAUGGGACUGUGUCAACAAAUACAAGGCCUCCAACAAGUCCGUCUGCUCUGCUAAGUGCUUUUUUGUGUACUGCUUUAUCAGCUGGUAUAACUUUGGAGAUUUAUACGCAGCCCCAGAUAACAGUACCGGCAUUGUGGUAACCGAAAUAUUUUAUAAAUUGGUCUAUGUACUGAUAUAAGUGCCAGUCGUGUCUAGUGAAACGGACGUUAGUGCUUUUAAGUGAAGCGUAAUUAUGUUUUAUGAUUUUUUAGUGCUUAGUACAUGGACGAAACGAUAGUGCUCGACGUAAAUAAUGGAUUCCAUGCGUUUGUGUGUUCAGUGUAAUUGGACGUACACAUUCCAGUGAACAAGGAACAAUACCAUUCAAGCUGUCAUGGGAGGGAUGUACAAAGAAUUUACUGUAGUGGUUCUGUUGGCUUGUCUUCUGGGAUCUUCAGUUUACGGUCAAUACCGAACUCCGAGGAUCACGGAGCACCCGUCCGACAUGAUAGUAGCGAAAAACGAACCAGUGACCUUGAACUGCAGAGCGGAGGGCAAGCCGGAGCCGACAAUCGAAUGGUUCAAAGACGGACAGCCGGUGCGUACUUCACCUUCGGAUUCCAGGUCGCAUCGCGUCUUGCUGCCGGCUGGGUCGCUCUUCUUCUUGCGGGUGAUGCACGGGAAGAAGGAGCAAGAUGGCGGCGUGUAUUGGUGCGUCGCGCGCAAUCAGGCCGGUCUCGCCACCAGCCGCAACGCCACGCUCCAGGUGGCCGGUAAGUGCAGCGACAU